GACGAACGCUGGCGGCGUGCCUAAUACAUGCAAGUCGAGCGAAGUUUUUCUGGUGCUUGCACUAGAAAAACUUAGCGGCGCACGGGUGAGUAACACGUAAAGAACCUGCCUCAUAGACUGGGACAACUAUUGGAAACGAUAGCUAAUACCGGAUAACAGUAUUUCUCGCAUGGGAGAUAUUUAAAAGUUGGUUAUGCUAACACUAUGAGAUGGCUUUGCGGUGCAUUAGCUAGUUGGUGGGGUAAAGGCCCACCAAGGCGACGAUGCAUAGCCGACCUGAGAGGGUGAUCGGCCACACUGGGACUGAGACACGGCCCAGACUCCUACGGGAGGCAGUAGUAGGGAAUCUUCCGCAAUGGGCGAAAGCCUGACGGAGCAACGCCGCGUGAGUGAAGAAGGAUUUCGGUUCGUAAAGCUCUGUUGUUAGGGAAGAAUGGAUAUGUAGUAACUAUACAUGUAAGAGACGGUACCUAACCAGAAAGCCACGGCUGACUACGUG
rnacentral:rRNA from 1 species